rnacentral:misc_RNA from 1 species
GUGAUUGUGAAUCGUUGCCUUCAGUGCUGGCUGGCUCCCUCCAGCAAGUGCACGUUGGUGACUUUCAUCCAAAUACCCAUGUGAACCUUUGGCCUCUUGCUGGCUUCGGCUGACAGAGGAUUUUACACCCACACUCGAAUGUAAUGAAAAAACCCUUUGGUGCGCAAGCACUUAUGUA